UCUCUCCUGUGGCCAGGUGUGCAGGGAGGAUUAAAUGAGAGGCUGGCUGUCUGAGGAGGGGGCUGGGUCUAGAAUGAGGCCCUGGGAGAGGGUGGGGCAAGGGCUCAGCCUGGAUUCCAGAAAAGCUCUGGCCCCUCUCAGCAGCAAGCUGGAUUGGGUGGGCGUUGCCUACUUUAAGGGAGGAUCUGCUGUUCCCAGAGAUGUGGGGACAUGCAAGCAAAAUGGGCACAGACGUUUAGAGUGGCAAGGAGGCCAAUGCGUGGUCCAUCAGACCUUCCAUAUUACAGAGGGUAAAGCAAGGCUGUGGGAUGGAGGUGCUCUGUCUGGGUGAGAGCAGAAAGAGGCCUGCACCUGGUGGGCGUCUGGAUAAACACCCCCCCCCCCCAGCAGAGCCUGGUUGGAAGGCCUCACUCCCCUCCUCUCUGGGCAGUGAGCUCUUCUUGGGAAGGGGCUGAAUUAGAGCCUCUGAGGCCCACCUGCUCUGGGGCUCCUCCCUGGGAGGGUGGGGACAAGGAGAGGGGACUGCAGUUGGCUCUUUGUUUUUCUUAAAGCAAUGGUAGACUUGACAUUGAGUGCUGGGCCUAUUUUGAAUGAAUAGACACAAUGAAGUGUAUUUCCCUGUAGACAUGGGACACUAUGAAAUUGGUGAUGAGCACUGACAGGGUUCCCGGUUACAACUUGCGGUUUCAGUCUCAUCUGAGUUGAAGUCUUGGCCCAGACGUGUGCUGGCUGAGGUGUUGUUGGCAGGACAUUUUAGUAUCCGUCCAGAUCCAUGUGUAACGGGCUGCCUCUUCAGCUCUGAAUGUGUGAAGAUCCAGAGGUUCACAGACACCGGGACCAUGAUCCUUUUAUCCUUGUCAUUUUGAAGGGAGAGUCUCCAGGAGCGGUACAAGUAUUUUCAGUCAUCUUGAGUAUGAGCUAGGAAUGGAGUAGCUGAGUCCGACAGUAACUCUUCAUAUCUCCAUUUGGGGACAACUGCUUGAACACUACAGUGGCUGCACCAUUUCACACUCUCACCAUCAAUGGGUGAGGUCUGUUUGUCCAUAUCCUUUAUAACUCUGGUUCCUCCCCAUUGUUUAAACUCCUGCCACUCAAGUAGGGGAGAGUUGGUUCACACUGUGGCUUCCAUUUGCUUUUCCCUGGGUCCAGAUGAUGUUGAGCAACUUUUUCUGGGCUUAUCUUAGAAGAGAUGCACAUUUGAAUAUUUGACUCCUGGUUGGUUGAGUUGUUCAUUUUCCUAUUAUUCAGUUGUAAGUGUUCCUUAUAUUUUGUGGACAGAGGAUCUUGUUAGAUACAUGAUUUUAAAAUAUUUUUUCUGAAUCUGUGUGAUGUUUUUUCACAUUGAAAAUGUGUUUUGGCCAGUGCUGCAGCGUAAUAGGCUAAUCCUCCAUCUGCUGCGUCGGCACCCCGGGUUCUAGUCCCAGUCGGGGUGCCGGAUUCUGUCCCGGUUGCCCCUCUUCCAGUCCAGUUUUCUGCUGUGGCCCGGGAGUGCAGUGGAGGAUGGCCAAAGUGCUUGGUCCCUGCACCCACAUGGGAGACCAGGAGAAACACCUGGCUCCUGGCUUCGGAUCAGCACGUUACACCGGC